AACGAACGCUGGCGGCAUGCCUAACACAUGCAAGUCGAACGGGCCCUUCGGGUCUAGUGGCGCACGGGUGCGUAACGCGUGGGAACCUGCCCUUAGGUUCGGAAUAACUCCCCGAAAGGGGUGCUAAUACCGGAUAAUGUCUUCGGACCAAAGAUUUAUCGCACUUGGUGGGGCCGGCGUUGGAUUAGCUAGUUGGUAGGGUAAAAGCCUACCAAGGCGACGAUCCAUAGCUGGUCUGUGAGGAUGAUCAGCCACACUGAGACGGAGACGCGGCCCGGACUCCUACGGGAGGCAGGAGUGGGUAAUAUUGGACAGCGGGCUAAAGCCUGAUCCAGCAAUGCCGCUUGAGUGAUGUAGGCCUUAGGGUUGUAAAGCGCUUUUACCCGGGAUGAUAAUGACAGUACCGGAAGAAAAAGCCCCGGCUAACUCCGUG
rnacentral:rRNA from 1 species